rnacentral:rRNA from 1 species
UACGUAGGGUGCAAGCGUUGUCCGGAAUUACUGGGUGUAAAGGGUUCGUAGGCGGUGCGGCAAGUUGGGAGUGAAAUCUCUGGGCUUAACCCAGAGGCUGCUUCCGAAACUGCUGUGCUUGAGUGUGGGAGAGGCGCGUGGAAUUGCAGGUGUAGCGGUGAAAUGCGUAGAUAUCUGCAGGAACACCCGUGGCGAAAGCGGCGCGCUGGACCACUACUGACGCUGAGGAACGAAAGCUAGGGGAGCAAACAGG